AUGGCAAUACCUACCAUCUUUCAUACAAAAAAAUUCCGUGUUGUUAGUGAUAAUAUUAUUGGAAAAGGAGUUAUUCAACAUUUCUUUACUUGUGCCGGUGCUUUACCUUCUAUGGGUAGUUCUAUCCUUUACAGAACUAGUAGUCUUGCGGGCGCUAUUUCCAUGCUUGUAGUUGAACUUGAAAGACAAUUCAUGCACAUGCAUCCUUCCAUACAAAGGAUUUUUCUGGAAUUUUCUAAUAUUGAGCAUUCUUCUGUUAAGCGUGCCGCUACUAUCUUUUUGGCUCAUGAGUUUAGAUUCAUAAUAAAAUUAGCCAAAGAAAUCUUUGCGCAUUAUAGGGUGGACGCUUGCCGUCCUCUCAUAGAGGCUAUCCUCUUUGAUCAAGAAGAAAUAAUGAGUUUUCAAUCUCUAGACUAUGUUGCUUUCAAUGAAAAUCUUAGAAAAAGGGUUCCUACCAAUGUUUUAGUUGAUAGAAUUUCUAAACUUAUUGAUGAUUUGGCUAUUAGAAAUAAUGAACUAGGAUAUUCUCUUGAAUAUAGGCUCACAAAGUUCUGUCAAAAGAAUGCUUAUAAUGAUGAAUUGGUUGUGCAUUAUGAAGGACCAAAGGAGGAACCUAUACCUCCCAAGGUUGAUUUUGGGGACUUUUGCCCCAUUAAAUUUAGCCCUUUUGAUUACUUUUGCUUGCCUCGAAGAAAACUUGAUGCUGAAUGUAGAGAAUAUGAAAUGAGUUUUAAUAAUCUAUCUUACUAUUAUGGCAAUACCUAG
rnacentral:rRNA from 1 species